CCAGGCUGAAACAGUCUUGAUGUCAAAGAUAUUAAGGCGUAAGGCAAAUACAAACUUAGUAAACCAGCACAGAGCCUUCCUAGCGCAUACACUGUUCAUAAGGGACAGCUGGCUUUUGUCCUGGUAGUGCCAGCCCCUCAUCCAAGGGGGAUUCCUGUUUAAGCCAGAGCCCAGGAUGGCGGUGGCUGUUUUCUCUCAACCUACAGGAGCGUUCCAGCGCUCACAGUGGAGGUAAAAUGAAGAAAUGAGUGUAACCUUCCAUUGCCCCUUGAAAACUACAAGAAGCCAAGACAGCAACAGGAGAACAGAAUACUCCUACACGUUCUGCAUUUCCCACCUUAUAUUAAGAGGCUUCAAACUCGCAGGCUUGAAUCAUCUAUAAGCUUUUGGAAAACAGGAUAAGCAACUGACUGGCAAAUUACUGGUCAUGAGAUUGAACAGUUUCACAUGACUUAUAAAUCACAAGCUACCAGUUCAAACAGAUUGUCUGGUUACUGGGUCUGUAACUUGCACUUCGCUGUGAAUGACCAACAAGAACAAAGAGAUGCCCAUGCCAGAAUAGGAUUGACGAUGAGUUGUAUCAAGGGUUGCAUUCUGGCAGCAAUCCUAGAAAAGGAUGAUUUGCAGCAAUCUCGAAUGAUUUACAUAACCUCAACACAAAAAAGUUCAUUUAAGUACUGCAUGAUCAAGGAUAUGUCUGUAAACUUUCCACAGAAAUGUGCAGAAACACCACGGGGUAAAUGAUUAAUGGAAUAACAUCAGAAUGGAAGAAAAGCUGUAAAUGCAGGACUACAGCCAAAAGGCACAAAGAAACCAAAUUAAAGAAACCAAAUUAAAGAAAUUUAGGGCAAAACAAUUCCCUAAAACACAGUUAGUCUUCCAGUAAUUAUAUUUUCGGCUAUUAAAAGCUUUUAAAAAAAAAAUACGAAGUGCCCCUUCUUGAAACUAAGGAACGCCUGCAAAAAUUAAACCAGAAAACUAAACUUUAUGGAGACAAACACAGCUUUGUCCCCUCCAGUGCUUUUGAACACGAGUCCACCAGAACAGCGGUGGAUGGAAUGUGCCUGUUCUCCACCCCUCACCCCAAAUACAGCACGGGCAGUAACAUAAAAGAAGGAAUCCUGAAGGUUGAUUUUAUUCUCUUUGGAGCUCCCUGACAUCACUGGUUUUAACAUUCGGUUUCCAUAAAUCCAGAAGUGACACGGAAGAUGUAUGGUUUGACUCUGCGAGGAAUGUGCCAUCCUUUUUGAAGUUCUGCUUCCAACUUUGUUUACUACUGAACCAUUGAAAUAUUAUGAAGCGUUAACUGGCCUAUUAUCAGAGCGCGUCUGUUCCCUAUCAGGGGUCCCUUUUGUCACUGGCUUCCGUCACACCUUGUAUCUGAUUAACACACUAUAGGAUAACAUAGAGCUACACAGAUCUGCUUUGUGUUCUCUCACAGCUGAUGAAAAACAGAUUUUCCUUUUCACUUUAAUGUGGUUGCCCUUUAAUUGGGUCUGUAAUAGGGUUCAUUUGAUGCGAUUCCUCAUACUAAACUAAAACUGCUAUACAGUAAGUUGAAUGUUCGUUACAUUUAAGGCAAUAGUCGGUAAAGUGAUAUGUUACAUUCUUCAUUAUUUAAACAUUCCUAAAACAUACAGUUUACAAGAAAGGUUAAAUUCACCGUUCUUUCAGUUAAGGAAAGAUUUAUCUUGUCUAGCUAGCCAAAAUUUAGGCAUGUGAUUUAAACUGUGCACCUCUCUAAACCAAGGACAGAAACAGAUGGCACGGAUCACCUUCUGCGGGUGUCUAUGACACCUACCUUAGGCUGAGUAGUACCAGAGGGCAAUUCACUGACAGGUCAAAAAAAAAAAUCUUUCUACAACUUCUGCUGGCACAACUCACGGUUACUUCUCUGCAAGCAGGCUCAUCGCUAAAUGUAUGCUGACAGCAAGCUAGUAAAAACCUAUGAAAUGAAAUUAAUGGCAAGGUAGCAAGAAGAAGAAACAUUUAUGCCCCCUAAAUUUAGGUGUCUACAUUGAAAACACACUGUCCACAGGGUUCCUAUACUGUCAAUAACUGAAGAGUUAAACUCUUUUUGCCUUGAAGAAAUUAAAGGUAUCUCACUGGCCAACUGCGAUGGAAGUAACAGAGACCACUUGUUUCGCUCACCUUCCUAGUUUUUCAACCCCAAAAAGAAAGCAUCAACGCUAGAGGGAAAUCUGUAUGGGUAGGCUUAUGUGAAGCAAAAGAAUCAGAACCCACAUGCCCUAACACUCCCUGCAGCGUGGUUAUUUUUCUAGCCCACGUAGAGUCUUUCUGCGGGAUACUCUUUGCCACAAAAAGCUACCAGCACCAAAGCGGACUGAUUUCCAAUUUCAUAACGCAGAAGUUGAAGAGUGAAAAUACAAGUCAACAGUAUGGCCAGCAGUCCCACAGCCUAGUUGCUCUACUGCCCACCUCUCCGCAUUCAGGAUUGUUAUUAGCUAACAGAAGUACACGACAGCACGGAAAUAGGGAGCCUUGACAAACGAAGGUAGAAACUCUGUUCCUGGAGGGAGUACAGCGCUCUUCAUGGAAGGAGGACACCAGGCUGGAGUCAAAGGUUAUCUGGUUUCAGAGUAUGGUGCCUAUUCAAAUAAAGCCCACACCAAAUCCC